UUCAGAACGAACGCUGGCGGCAGGCUUAACACAUGCAAGUCGAGCGCCCCGCAAGGGGAGCGGCAGACGGGUGAGUAACGCGUGGGAAUCUACCUAGCUCUACGGAAUAACCCAGGGAAACUUGGACUAAUACCGUAUACGUCUUCGGGAGAAAGAUUUAUCGGAGUUGGAUGAGCCCGCGUUGGAUUAGCUAGUUGGUGGGGUAAUGGCCUACCAAGGCGACGAUCCAUAGCUGGUCUGAGAGGAUGAUCAGCCACACUGGGACUGAGACACGGCCCAGACUCUACGGGAGGCAGCAGUGGGGAAUAUUGGACAAUGGGCGMAAGCCUGAUCCAGCCAUGCCGCGUGAGUGAUGAAGGCCCUAGGGUUGUAAAGCUCUUUCAACGGUGAAGAUAAUGACGGUAACCGUAGAAGAAGCCCCGGCUAACUUCGUGCCAGCAGCCGCGGUAAUACGAAGGGGGCUAGCGUUGUUCGGAAUUACUGGGCGUAAAGCGCACGUAGGCGGACUAUUAAGUCAGGGGUGAAAUCCCGGGGCUCAACCCCGGAACUGCCUUUGAUACUGGUAGUCUAGAGUCCGAGAGAGGUGAGUGGAAUUCCGAGUGUAGAGGUGAAAUUCGUAGAUAUUCGGAGGAACACCAGUGGCGAAGGC
rnacentral:rRNA from 1 species